CGAACGCUGGCGGCGUGCUUAACACAUGCAAGUCGAGCGAUGAAGUUUCUUCGGAAAUGGAUUAGCGGCGAACGGGUGAGGAACACGUGAAGAAUCUGCCCUCCACUUUGGGAUAACACCGGGAAACCGGUGCUAAUACCGAAUAUUGAAACAUAAGUGGCAUCACUGAGUUUUGAAAGAAUUUCGGUGGAGGAUGACUUCGCGGCCUAUCAGCUAGUUGGUGAGGUAAUGGCUCACCAAGGCAACGACGGGUAGCCGGCCUGAGAGGGCGACCGGCCACACUGGGACUGAGACACGGCCCAGACUCCUACGGGAGGCAGCAGUGAGGAAUAUUGCGCAAUGGGCGAAAGCCUGACGCAGCGACGCCGCGUGGGGGAUGAAGGUCUUCGGAUUGUAAACCCCUUUCGGGAGGAAGAUGGAACGAGCAAUCGUUCGGACGGUACCUCCAGAAGCAGCCACGGCUAACUUCGUGCCAGCAG
rnacentral:rRNA from 1 species